rnacentral:tRNA from 1 species
GCCUGGGUGGCUCAGUCGGUUGAGCGUCCGACUUCGACUCAGGUCAUGAUCUCGCGGUCUGUGGGUUCGAGCCCUGCGUCGGGCU